CACACCUUUGGUCUGGUUUGAAAGCUGGCGCCCGAAAAGGGGAGCGAAAGGACAAGAAAAAAAAAACACGCUCCGAAAGUGUCUGAGAUUGCUGCGGCCAUAAAGCAGAGCACUAACCGCGGUACUGAUAAGGGAGGGGAGCAGGGCUCCGCCGCCGGGCCUGUGCCCAUGGACCUAGGUGAGGACGGGCACUCCUUCCUCCGCGGCCAAACGUUGCAUUUCCCAAGACCACCCUGACCCGCCACGCCCCCAUCCUGUGCCUAUAAAAACUCCCGAGACCCUAGCGGGCACAGACACAAGCGGCUGGACAUGAAGAGGAACACACCGGCGGGAGAACACAGAACACGCACCCUUUCUUUUAGUCACCCUGGAGGCCUCGGAGAAGGCGGUUUCAGUGAUCCGUGAAGAGACCCCGAGUCUUUUACAUCCCGGAGAAUGACAAGAGAGCGAGUACCUGGGCGACGUUUACGUUCUGGGAUUUCGGGAGAUGCGGUUUUCUGCACGCCAGGGGCCAAGCCUGAGACGUAGAUGGACGGCAGGGAUAGGAGCUCUCUCCGCGCCACAAACGCCCCUGCUCAUACCUGGGUUCCUUGAUUUUCCUGCCUAUAUAACCCAGCCUCCCAUGGCCGGGCUCUGAGCUCUCAUUCUGCGGACUGGGACAAAGGGGUUAACUGUGAUGCGCUUUGUAUAACCCCAGGAUUCUGCACUUGCCCAAGGGCGAGGUGCAAAUCAAAAACUACGCACAACUGAACACCGAGAUCAGCUUACUCAGACCCGAUGAUCCAAGAUAAGACCAAAGCCAAACGGAUCCAGCAACUCUGCGCAGAUCUUCAUGUUCCAGCAGCUAAGUUCCACUGAAUAAACCUAUGAUUCGCCUAGUUUAGAAAUUGUCUAGUCCCUCCUCAGAAGGACCUUACUAACUUUCCCCCUAAAAGUGUCCUAUGAAUAGCUCCAGUCCCCAAACCCUUUAAAUUCUGGUCUCUGACUCACCCUUGUUUUAGGCAGUACUGGGACUCCACAGAGGUACGGCUCUUUGCUCAGCAAGUUUAAUAAAUCCAAGAAAUUGACAAGCUUAUUCUGAAGGACCUAGAGUAACCUAAAUAAUUAGGAAAAGAAAAACAAAGUUAGAGGACUUACACCAAGUAAUUUCAAGACUUAUUAUAAAGCUAAG
rnacentral:lncRNA from 1 species